rnacentral:rRNA from 1 species
CCUACGGGGGGCAGCAGUAGGGAAUCUUCCACAAUGGGCGAAAGCCUGAUGGAGCAACGCCGCGUGUGUGAUGAAGGGUUUCGGCUCGUAAAACACUGUUGUAAGAGAAGAAUGACAUUGAGAGUAACUGUUCAAUGUGUGACGGUAUCUUACCAGAAAGGAACGGCUAAAUACGUGCCAGCAGCCGCGGUAAUACGUAUGUUCCAAGCGUUAUCCGGAUUUAUUGGGCGUAAAGCGAGCGCAGACGGUUAUUUAAGUCUGAAGUGAAAGCCCUCAGCUCAACUGAGGAAUUGCUUUGGAAACUGGAUGACUUGAGUGCAGUAGAGGAAAGUGGAACUCCAUGUGUAGCGGUGAAAUGCGUAGAUAUAUGGAAGAACACCAGUGGCGAAGGCGGCUUUCUGGACUGUAACUGACGUUGAGGCUCGAAAGUGUGGGUAGCA